CUCCCCACUGCAGCCCAGGAGCCUGAGGAGCCACAUCCUGUGAGUGUCCCCACCAUGGUCUGGACGGUGCUUCUGCUCCAGCUCCUGGCGCACAGCUCAGGGGUGGAUUCUCAGACUGUGGUGACCCAGGAGCCGUCAAUGUCAGUAUCUCCAGGAGGGACAGUCACACUCACCUGUGGUCUCAGCUCUGGGGCCGUCUCUACUGGUAACUACCCCAGCUGGUUCCAGCAGACCCCAGGCAAGCCUCCACGCACGGUCAUCUACGAAACAAACAAGCGCCCCUCUGGGGUCCCUGAUCGCUUCUCUGGCUCCAUCUCUGGGAACAAGGCCGCCCUCACCAUCUCGGGGGCCCAGCCCGAGGACGAGGCCGAGUACUACUGCGCUCUGCAUUUGGAUGGAAGUAUGAAUGACCCGCAGGCCCUGGAGGGGGCCCGGGGCCAUCUGUGGGUGGCACACCGGAGGGACCCACCGCUGCUGACGUGCUCCCACUGUGACACGGUGGAAGGGGACAGCAGGGUGACCCUGGGGCAGGACUAG